AGGGAAUCUUCGGCAAUGGACGGAAGUCUGACCGAGCAACGCCGCGUGAGUGAAGAAGGUUUUCGGAUCGUAAAGCUCUGUUGUAAGAGAAGAACGAGUGUGAGAGUGGAAAGUUCACACUGUGACGGUAUCUUACCAGAAAGGGACGGCUAACUACGUGCCAGCAGCCGCGGUAAUACGUAGGUCCCGAGCGUUGUCCGGAUUUAUUGGGCGUAAAGCGAGCGCAGGCGGUUAGAUAAGUCUGAAGUUAAAGGCUGUGGCUUAACCAUAGUACGCUUUGGAAACUGUUUAACUUGAGUGCAAGAGGGGAGAAUGGAAUUCCAUGUGUAGCGGUGAAAUGCGUAGAUAUAUGGAGGAACACCGGUGGCGAAAGCGGCUCUCUGGCUUGUAACUGACGCUGAGGCUCGAAAGCGUGGGGAGCAAACAGGAUUAGAUACCCUGGUAGUCCACGCCGUAAACGAUGAGUGCUAGGUGUUAGACCCUUUCCGGGGUUUAGUGCCGCAGCCAACGCAUUAAGCACUCCGCCUGGGGAGUACGACCGCAAGGUUG
rnacentral:rRNA from 1 species